rnacentral:rRNA from 1 species
UAUCACUAAGCGGAGGAAAAGAAACUAACAAGGAUUCCCUUAGUAACGGCGAGUGAACAGGGAAGAGCCCAGCACCGAAGCCUGUGGCCAUUUGGUCUCUAGGCAAUGUGGUGUUUAGGUCAUCUCGCAGAGACACUGUCCCACUCUAAGUCCAGCAAUGAGAACGGCAAUUUGGACUUGGCCCAAAGAGGGUGAAAGGCCCGUGAGGGUGGGAAGCAGAAUGGCCAGUGUCUCUCUGAGUAGACCUUGGAGUCGGGUUGUUUGUGAAUGCAGCCCAAAGCGGGUGGUAAACUCCAUCCAAGGCUAAAUACUAACACGAGUCCGAUAGCGAACAAGUACCGUGAGGGAAAGUUGAAAAGUACUUUGAAGAGAGAGUAAACAGUGCGUGAAACCGCUCAGAGGUAAACAGGUGGAGUUGAACUGCAAGCUUUGAGAAUUUAACUGGUGAGUGUGGCAUGGGCUUGGAUAUGCUGGUUGGCCCUUGGAGUCUGCUUAGCUGCAGGUCCUACCUUUCGGGGUGGGAUGCAUGAUGCACUUGUCAAGUGUUGUGCGCUUCGGGGGUACAUCGGACCUGCUCGCCAGUGCAUUUUCUCAGGGUGUUCACCACGACCGGCGCUGCUGUCUGUCUACUGUGGUUAAACCGGGUUUGUAUCGUCCUUGUGGCUUUGCAUACUCGGGACGGCAGGUAGCUCGAUUUUGCUUGUCAAUGUCGGGUGUAAUCAGCUGACUGCAGUAGUACUGUGCAGUGCGCCGGAGAUGGCGGCUUGUGGUGCGUACAUGCGUGCCUGUUUGAUUGGCGGCUUUGGGUCUGGUUGUCAUGAGCUUGUAAAAACAGGCCUGAUGAUGGCUCUGAGUCGUUCGGUCGACGGUUGCGUGUGGGGUACUUUAAUGGGCCUAUAGUCCUGUGGUGUAGUGGUAAACGAUCCACCUGA